rnacentral:rRNA from 1 species
UGAGGAAUAUUGGACAAUGGGCGUAAGCCUGAACCAGCCAAGUCGCGUGAAGGAUGACUGCCCUAAGGGUUGUAAACUUCUUUUGUAAGGGGAGAAUAAAUUCUACGUGUAGGAUGAUGACAGUACCUUACGAAUAAGCAUCGGCUAACUCCGUGCCAGCAGCCGCGGUAAUACGUAGGGGGCAAGCGUUAUCCGGAUUUACUGGGUGUAAAGGGAGCGUAGACGGUGAUGCAAGUCUGGAGUGAAAGCCCGGGGCUCAACCCCGGGACUGCUUUGGAAACUGUGUGACUAGAGUGCAGGAGAGGUAAGUGGAAUUCCUAGUGUAGCGGUGAAAUGCGUAGAUAUUACUCAGAACACCGAUUGCGAAGGCAGCUUGUUAAUCUGUAUCUGACGCUGAGGCACGAAAGCGUGGGUAGCGAACA